rnacentral:rRNA from 1 species
AUUUCAGCUCCAAUAGCGUAUAUUAAAGUUGUUGCAGUUAAAAAGCUCGUAGUUGGAUCUCAGGGUGAGCUCAGUUGGUCGGCCUUUAGGUCAGAACUGGCUGACUCUCCCUUGUUUCUGAAUCCCUGUUUUCGUUAAUUCGUCAACUGUGGACUUCAGAUCGUUUACCUUGAAAAAAUUAGAGUGUUCAAAGCGGGCGUUUGCUUGAAUACAUUAGCAUGGAAUAAUGGAAUAGGACCCUGGUUCUAUUUUGUUGGUUUUGAGGACCAGAGUAAUGAUUAAUAGGGAUAGUUGGGGGCAUUCAUAUUUAAUUGUCAGAGGUGAAAUUCUUGGAUUUAUGAAAGAUGAACUUCUGCGAAAGCAUUUGCCAAGGAUGUUUUCAUCA